rnacentral:tRNA from 1 species
UUAAUAGAAGCCAAAACAGAGGCUAUUCACUGUUAAUGAAUAUAAUGAAUAAAUCCUAUUAAG